rnacentral:rRNA from 1 species
ACGCUCGACACCUACGGGAGGUAGCAGUGGGGAAUAUUGCACAAUGGGGGAAACCCUGAUGCAGCGACGCCGCGUGAGUGAAGAAGUAUUUCGGUAUGUAAAGCUCUAUCAGCAGGGAAGAAGAUGACGGUACCUGAGUAAGAAGCCCCGGCUAACUACGUGCCAGCAGCCGCGGUAAUCUGAGCGGGCUGGCAAGGC